rnacentral:lncRNA from 10 species
UGUGUGUUGGUGGGGGCGUAAUUUGCCUUCCACACCAGGAUCUGUCCCCGCUGCAACAGGGGAUGUUAUUCAAGUAAUUAUUCAGUUACCUUCUGUCUUCCUUGGUAGAUGUACUCGGGAGAGGAGACGUUUUCUGUCUUGUGAACUGUCGUUUGCCAAGCACCCGGCCUGGCACAGCGUUCAGGUGUUCCGUGUCCCCUUCUCCUUUCCCUCUCCCCAUC